rnacentral:rRNA from 6 species
AGGUACUCCGGGGAUAACAGGCUGAUACCGCCCAAGAGUUCAUAUCGACGGCGGUGUUUGGCACCUCGAUGUCGGCUCAUCACAUCCUGGGGCUGAAGUAGGUCCCAAGGGUAUGGCUGUUCGCCAUUUAAAGUGGUACGCGAGCUGGGUUUAGAACGUCGUGAGACAGUUCGGUCCCUAUCUGCCGUGGGCGCUGGAGAACUGAGGGGGGCUGCUCCUAGUACGAGAGGACCGGAGUGGACGCAUCACUGGUGUUCGGGUUGUCAUGCCAAUGGCACUGCCCGGUAGCUAAAUGCGGAAGAGAUAAGUGCUGAAAGCAUCUAAGCACGAAACUUGCCCCGA